AAAAACAAUCAAUAUAAAAAGCUAACAAAAAAGAGUCCAUAUCUUUUCCUAAUUUUCUCAUAAACUGACUCAAUUCCUCUCCUUCUACUCAUCCAAAUCAUUUUGCCAAUCUUCUCAAUUUUUUUCUCUCUUAGAAAACAAAUCAAACAUCUGCAAUCAACAACCAAACUGAAAGCUAACUGUGGGCAACUGCAGUAAUGACGGUAGCUGGGCAGCUUUGAGGUGAUGGCUGGAGGUUGUAGUGGAGAAUUUGUGAGGCGGCAAUUUGGCUAGAAAAUCAAUUGGCGGAUUGGUGAUCUCUGGCCUUUGGGAUGAGACAAAGAGUUGAGUGGUUUUGCGGCUGUUUAGGUUGGGGAUUUUGGGGAAAACAAAUUAGGUUUAUACUUUAGAAACUUUACUCUGUCUAUAUAUUUAGUAUCUGAUCGGAUUGUUGGAUCAAAUCCGAAUUCAAUCCAAUCUGAAUGUAUUCGAAUCGAAUCAAUUCGAAUCCAAUCCGAUGCCCACCCUUAUGUAUAGUAAUAUACGGUUAAAAUUUAAUUAAUUUUAUACUCUUAUUUAGUAACUAGUGUUUGAACUAGAUUUUGGUGGGAAAAAAAAAGGGACAAAAAACCUAGUUAAGCACAAUAAAUUUGUAUUAAAGUGAAGUGGUGCCCCAAGUAAUUCGGGUGUGCUGACUAUUUUUUGCCUUCCGUGGAGCUUGAAAAAGAAUGAAAGAUGUGGGGAGGUAGUGUGGAAUUUAGAUAUGGAGAGAGCUGGCUUAAAAGACUGUUUUUAACAUGCAAAAGGAAGAAAAUAAGUUAGAUGUGGAGCUAAUAGUGGUUGACGACCACACAUUAAUGCUCAAGUUAGUAUAAGGUUGGUUUUUGAGGUUAAGAACCAGAAAGCUCUUAGUAAUGGAGGUGGCUAGAGGUUGAAGAAUGAAUGAAGUGAAUAAAACAUGAGUAUCUUUUUGUGGAGUGCCUUGGCCACCAUGCCACUUGGCGCAUUUAUAUUGGUCCUUUCUCUCGUUGUGGAAAGGAUAUUACUAUCUUUUGGCUUUUGUGACCACUAAAGACUUGGGCACAUGCUUGGAAGAUAAGUAAGCGCAUCAUUUGUACAUUUUGUCCACACUUAUACAUGUUAGACUUUGCUAGUAGUUUAGCAUGCUUGUGCUGAGAUUGUCCUGCGAUGGUUGGCGUGUCAAAUAAGAAUAAAUGGUCCCAACUAUUAUGGUGGGCUGCGAUAGUCUAAAAAAAUGUGGCAGCCUGUUGCCUCUUCUUUUUCAAUAAAAUGUCUACUUACUAAUCCCUCAAUAUUAGCUGGGGAAUCAAUAUCCUUUUAUGGUGAUAAUGACACCUUUUAUACUUUAUAUUUUGGAUAUUUUCUCCAACAUUUCUGCUUUCAAUAUAGGGGAAUCC
rnacentral:lncRNA from 1 species